UGGAAGGUGAGGACUAUGCUUGCCAAGAAACUUCAGGGAAUUUUCUGAACAUAUGCAAAAGCGAAAUUACAAAGACCAUAUUCUUCACAACUUUGUUCAAGUGCUUAAAAGAAGUUACACUGAGAAUGUAAACUAGACAGAUUGGUGAAGCCUGGAAUGCUGAGUGAACAAAAAUGGGCUUUUAUGUAAUAGGCAAUGCUAGAUGCUCCACUUAGAGGAAUACAAACAAAUUGAAGCUGAUUUAACCAGCACAGACUACCCAGCAGCUGAGAAACCUUCAUGAAACAAGGAUUAAUUGUUUGUGGCAUAGUAUAUGACAAUAACAACAAGAACUCAACAAAUCUACUAUAGGAGAAAUAGAAGAUAUCUAUUAAGGAUAGCCAUAAUGCCAGUUGAUUUUCAUCAUUAAGAGAUCUUCAAAUGAUAGAUGAAUUUUCAAAGCCUUCAAAGAAAGUGUAUAUUGAACUUAAUGUAGCUUGAUUGUUUCAAUCAAAUGCCCAUUCUUGAGGAAAAAACAUUUGAAAUACACUCAGAAUGCAGACUCACAUGCUGACAAUUUGUGUUUUCCCCACAACCAUCAUCUGAGAUUCAGAUCUCCACUGUUUCACAUGUACUUUCCUUGAGAGACAGUCCUGCUCACUUCAGAAGACACUGGAACCUUCAAUAGUUGGAGCU